rnacentral:rRNA from 1 species
UUGAACGCUGGCGGCAGGCCUAACACAUGCAAGUCGAACGGUAACAGGAAGAAGCUUGCUUCUUUGCUGACGAGUGGCGGACGGGUGAGUAAUGUCUGGGAAACUGCCUGGUGGAGGGGGAUAACUACUGGAAACGGUAGCUAAUACCGCAUAACGUCGCAAGACCAAAGAGGGGGACCUUCGGGCCUCUUGCCAUCGGAUGUGCCCAGAUGGGAUUAGCUAGUAGGUGGGGUAACGGCUCACCUAGGCGACGAUCCCUAGCUGGUCUGAGAGGAUGACCAGCCACACUGGAACUGAGACACGGUCCAGACUCCUACGGGAGGCAGCAGUGGGGAAUAUUGCACAAUGGGCGCAAGCCUGAUGUAGCCAUGCCGCGUGUAUGAAGAAGGCCUUCGGGUUGUAAAGUACUUUCAGCGGGGAGGAAGGGAGUAAAGUUAAUACCUUUGCUCAUUGACGUUACCCGCAGAAGAAGCACCGGCUAACUCCGUG